rnacentral:rRNA from 1 species
AUACGUAGGGGGCAAGCGUUGUCCGGAAUUACUGGGCGUAAAGAGUUCGUAGGCGGUUUGUCGCGUCGUUUGUGAAAACCAGCAGCUCAACUGCUGGCUUGCAGGCGAUACGGGCAGACUUGAGUACUGCAGGGGAGACUGGAAUUCCUGGUGUAGCGGUGAAAUGCGCAGAUAUCAGGAGGAACACCGGUGGCGAAGGCGGGUCUCUGGGCAGUAACUGACGCUGAGGAACGAAAGCGUGGGUAGCGAACAGGA